UGCAGUCGUACGCGAAAGAAGGGCAACCUUCGAGUAAAGUGGCGCACGGGUGAGUAACACGUGGAUAACCUGCCCCAAAGUCUGGGAUAACGUGCCGAAAGGUGCGCUAAUACCGGAUACCUUUGUGCCUCACAAGAGGUAUAAAGAAAGGAGGCCUCUGCUUGCAAGCUUUCGCUUUGGGAUGGGUCCGCGGCCUAUCAGGUAGUUGGUAGGGUAACGGCCUACCAAGCCUACGACGGGUAGCUGGUCUGAGAGGACGAUCAGCCACAUUGGGACUGAGACACGGCCCAGACUCCUACGGGAGGCAGCAGUGGGGAAUAUUGGGCAAUGGGAGAAAUCCUGACCCAGCAACGCCGCGUGGAGGAUGAAGGCCUUCGGGUUGUAAACUCCUGUCAGCAGGGAAAAAGAUUGCAAAAGCUAAUACCUUUUGCAGUUUGAUGGUACCUGCUAAGGAAGCACCGGCUAACUACGUGCCAGCAGCCGCGGUAAUACGUAGGGUGCAAGCGUUAUUCGGAAUCACUGGGCGUAAAGGGCGCGCAGGCGGUUUUGUAAGUCUAAAGUGAAAUCCUUGGGCUUAACCCAGGGGCUGCUUUAGAUACUGCAAAACUCGAGUUCGGGAAAAGCAAGCGGAAUUCCUGGUGAAGGGGUGAAAUCCGUA
rnacentral:rRNA from 1 species